AACGCCGCAUGAAAAGCAUGCCUAUAUUAAUUCCAUUCCUGACUUAGAAUCAAUACUUAUACAGGCUAUGUUCCGGAUAUCGCAAAUUUUGUGUUUGAACUUGAAAAAUUCAUACGAAUUAAAAUUUAAUAGUGUUUCAUUCCAAAAAAUAUUAAGGAACAGACCAACUCUGUAACCCAUGCCAACUAUUAAUAUCGAUCAAUGGAAUUCGAAAAUUUGUUGUUUUGGUUUAUUUAUUUGAUUCAACGGCAAAAAUUUUUGUUUAGAAAUAUAUGUAUUAAGUAUUUAAAGGAUAUACGAAAAUAAAUCUGAAAAUUUAAAAAAAAAAACUUAAAACAUCAGCAAAUUUUUUUGAAUUUUUCCCUCAUAAAAUUGGUUCUAUAUUCCAUUUUGUCCGCGUUCUCGUGGUGUGAUAUGACAAACGUCAGCACAGUAGGCUGUGUGUCACAGUAACCGGUUUUGGCUUGGCUUUUCCAAAACACGAAAUUAUUAUUCGGGUCGACUCAAAUACGAAACAAUAUAAAAAAUUCUUAAAAUUGUUUGGAAUUGAUUUGGAAAUACAGCCAAUGAAAAUGCAGAAGAACAACAAAUUUCCCUUGAAGAGCGCCGCGUUGGCGCUUCAACAUUAGAUGAAGUUGCCAUCGUGAUGUUGGUGAAAACAUAGAAAGACGUGAUAUUGUGAUUGCACGUCGCGAUGUUGGGCAAUUGCAAAAAAUAUCUGAAACACAUCGUUUAUAUAACACGUUGCUAUACUCGCUCAUGUUUUGGCAAGGAGAAGAUGGAUAUCAUUUUAAUAUCAAAAUAAUAAAUCCAUUGAGUGGUGAAGAAACUACAAAGAAAAUUAGUUCGAUGAAAUAUUACGCACAACGUUUGAUGAUUCGGCAGAAGAGGAAAAAAGGUCUAUAGCAAGUUGAUUGAAAUUUUUGAACAAAUUGAACAUUUCCAUAAUGGCAAUGAAAACCGAAUUAAUUUACUGAAAACCAGGAUUAAUAAAUGUUCUAAAGUAACAAACGUCACGUCUUCAUGAGAAAAAAACACCGUAAUUGUCGUCAUCUAUACCUGGUGGAUAUUGAUUUGGAAUCGGAUUCAACUGCUACUGCAGAUUCAUCUUACCGACCUGAGACAUCAGACAUGGAUUUUGAUGAAGUUUUUUUAUUUAGAAUACGAAAAGGUUUGAUACCUCCAAUUAUGCUAUGAUGUGCGGCAGAUUUGGUGUGUUAGACAGAGUUGCUGCUUGUUCCGCUACGGCACUUAUUAAAGAUGUAGGUUUCAAAGACAACUCUAAUUUAUAUGUAAAUAAAUGGAUGUUGAUUUCUGAUCAACAUAAAUGGACUGCUCGAUCUUCAUAGCCAAUGGUUACAAAAUCGGAUGACUAUAUAAUACCUACUUUACUGCGAAGAGCUGCAGCGAUGAACUCUUUCGCUUGUCACCAUUGCGAAAACCACACAACGAGCUUUCGUUUUGAAAGCUUGAGAAGUAAAGUUACGCGAUACCCUACAUUAGUCAGGUAUCUGGGUUUGAAACUUAGUUAGUUAGUUCCUUUGGAAUUUUGGCAGUGCGCUACAACCGAUUCCUCACUAAAAUGUAUAUCAAAU
rnacentral:sRNA from 1 species